CAAAGGGAGUCAGAGUUUUCCACGAUAUACAGAGCUGAGCAGGGGAGGCUCUAGCCGGGAGCCCUAAAGACAGAUUGAGGGCCCAGGAUAAGUCAGAGCAAAGAGCCAAGGGGUCUUCCUACACCCAGAUGGCCUACUGUUGAAAAAACAUCAGGCAGAUCCUCCCGCAUUGUUCCCUAAGAGGAUGCCAGACAUGCUCGCGAUUACAAAAAAAUAAACAAGCAAACAUUACAGAAAUAUGUGAGCUAAGAGAGAAUGAAGGUCAAGACAGGCACACGUUGCUGGAGAAACAAGGAGCAGUGUAGACGGGGCUUAGCACCCUUGGAAGCAGAUUAAAAUCCCCAACAGUGGGACAAGUGGGGGAAAGUGAGAGCUUCCUCCCCGAGGGAGACCCCUGCACGGGCCGGCUUCUCCCCCAGCCAGCUGACGCAUUCCGCUGCGAGCAGAAAGCCGGACCCAGGAGAAUGCACUUGAGAAAAAUUACACCGCGGCCCUUGCAACAGUUGAAAGCUGAUGAAAGAAAUGUAGUGAGCAGGGGGCUGGGGGAGAUCUCAGCUGUUUCCCCGCAGUGACUGGGCCUCGAUUCCGAUUCUCUUAAUAAUGUCCGAAUUAAAAAGGGAAGGCGGCAGGGAUGAGGGAGACGCUGGCAAGACCCUUGGAACAGGCCGGAGAGUGACCGCCGUGAGGACACAGUGGGCCCUCAACGCUGGGCUGAGCCAGAAAACAGGGUCCCAUCCCCGCUAAAAUGUGUGUCGCGCAAGAGGGGCCUGCCCGUCAGAAACGCCACGCUCUCACGGCCACCCCAAGGGGCUUGCGUACGCACGCCUCCUGGAGUCCCCAUUGUCACCAGCGGGUGAUGGCAUCCGGUGACCCGCGCGGGAUAGUGCAGGCGAGCCGGGGCCUGCCCGCAGGCUAGGCUCGCUCGGGGAGAAGGCUCUGCACCUGUCCGCUAGCACAGGCCCUGCUGUGUGUGGGUCUGUCCCAGGACGGCAGGACUCACGGCCGCCAUAGCCCAGAGGAGAGGACGGAAGAGUGGAAGAGACCGCAGCCUUCUCCAGAGCUGAGAAAAGACACAGAUGCACAGAUCCAGACACCCCAGAGAGUCCCACGUCAGCCGAGUGAAUUAAAACAUACCUGGAGGGGCGCCUGGAGGGCUCAGUGGGUUAAGCCUCUGCCUUUAGCUUGGGUCGUGAUCCCGGGGUCCUGGGAUCAAGCCCCGCUUCAGGCUCCCUGCUCCGCUGGAGGCCAGUGUGCUUCUCCCUCUCCCUCUGCUGCCGCUCACUACAUGGCUCUCUCUCUGUUUCUGUCCAAUAAGUGAA